UUGGUAAGGUAACGGCUUACCAAGGCGACGAUCAGUAGCCGACCUGAGAGGGUGAUCGGCCACAUUGGAACUGAGACACGGUCCAAACUCCUACGGGAGGCAGCAGUGGGGAAUAUUGCACAAUGGGCGAAAGCCUGAUGCAGCAACGCCGCGUGAGCGAUGAAGGCCUUCGGGUCGUAAAGCUCUGUCCUCAAGGAAGAUAAUGACGGUACUUGAGGAGGAAGCCCCGGCUAACUACGUGCCAGCAGCCGCGGUAAUACGUAGGGGGCUAGCGUUAUCCGGAAUUACUGGGCGUAAAGGGUGCGUAGGUGGUUUCUUAAGUCAGAGGUGAAAGGCUACGGCUCAACCGUAGUAAGCCUUUGAAACUGGGAAACUUGAGUGCAGGAGAGGAGAGUGGAAUUCCUAGUGUAGCGGUGAAAUGCGUAGAUAUUAGGAGGAACACCAGUUGCGAAGGCGGCUCUCUGGACUGUAACUGACACUGAGGCACGAAAGCGUGGGGAGCAAACAGGAUUAGAUACCCUGGUAGUCCACGCCGUAAACGAUGAGUACUAGCUGUCGGAGGUUACCCCCUUCGGU
rnacentral:rRNA from 1 species